rnacentral:rRNA from 1 species
GAUGAACGCUGGCGGCGUGCCUAAUACAUGCAAGUCGAACGAACGGACGAGAAGCUUGCUGCUCGGAUGUGAGCGGCGGACGGGUGAGUAACACGUGUAUAACCUACCUAUAAUACUGGUAUAACUUCGGGAAACCGGAGCUAAUACCGUAGGAGAUUUUGAACCGCAUGGUUCAAAAGUGAAAGACGGUCUUGCGGUCACGUAUAGAUGGAUCCGCGCUGCAUUAGCUAGUUGGUAAGGUAACGGCUUACGAAGGCAACGAUGCAUAGCCGAGCUGAGAGCGGGAUCGGCCACACUGGAACUGAGACACGGUCCAGACACCUACGGGAGGCCGCAGUAGGGACUCGUCCGCACUGGGCGAAAGCCUGACGGAGCAACGCCGCGUGAGUGCUGAAGGUCCUCGGAUCGUAAAACUCUGUUAUUAGUGAAGACCAUAUGUGUAAGUAACUGUGCACAUCUUGCCGGUACCUAAUAAGAAAGCCACGGCUAACUACGU